rnacentral:tRNA from 1 species
GGGGAUUUAGCUUAGUGGUAGAGCGCUUGCCUAGGAAGCGCAAGGCCCUGGGUUCGGUUCCCAGCUCCA